rnacentral:rRNA from 1 species
CUGCUGCCUUCCGUAGGAGUCUGGGCCGUAUCUCAGUCCCAAUGUGGCCGGCCAACCUCUCAGUCCGGCUACUGAUCGUCGCCUUGGUAGGCCGUUACCCUACCAACUAGCUAAUCAGACGCGAGGCCAUCUCUCAGCGAUAAAUCUUUGGUACCAGUACCAUGCGAUACCAGUACGUUAUGCGGUAUUAGCAGUCGUUUCCAACUGUUGUCCCCCACUGAAAGGCAGGUUCCUCACGCGUUACUCACCCGUCCG